ensembl:lncRNA
AGGGCUGUUGCUAGAACUUGCAACAUUCUGACUGGAUUACCAAUUAACCAAAGCGUCCGUUGCAAUGCUGGUUGCUUGGUUACCUUUAAGCUGUAUUUUAUGGUGACAUUGCUCGCUACUUAUGAAAGCACCACUGAUCUCGACAAGGGGUGCAACUUUGAUAGGGGGGCAGAGAAAUUCACAAUUCAGGGUGUCUUCGUCAGACAGAGAGACCCAUACAGAAAGAGAGAGGAAGAAAGUGAGAAAUGAGAAGGUGGGAAAAGAGUGAAAGACAGAGAUAGAGAUGAAGAGUGAGUGAAACAGAAAGAGAAAGACAUCAGUGCAAAUUUACAAAGACUUUAGUAUUUCAACAACUCUUCCAACUUGUUAGGCAAUCACAUGUGCCUGCGGGGGAAGGAUGGCCAGACACACAGGAGGGUGAUUUUCACUAAGGAGGAAAAGGAGACGGUGCUGACAGAGAUGCAUGCUGGACAUUUCGGAGUGAAGCGAAUGACUGCCAAAAUCAUCCUACGCUUCUUCUGGCAUGGGAUUGUCAAGGAUGUGGACAGCUGGGACAAGACUGGCGAGUCCACCUCCAAAGUGAUGAUGGACAUCUUUAACACUCACUGUGCUCCUGAGGUAACCUUGAGUGAUCGAGGUCGUGAACUCUGGAACAAGGGUUACCUCGUUGGAAGCCAACAUUCUUCUCCAGUUGGAGCAGUUGGACGGUCAAUCCACUGCAAGCCCUGACUCCUUACACCUCGGUGAAGCCCAUGAGACAAAAUGAAAUUCUGCAUCUAGUGAUUUCUGAUUGCCAAACAAUCUGCACACUCAUCCCAUCCCCUCCAUUUCAUUACAUAAUCUAAAGCUACUGUUAUUGUUAUGUUGUCAUUAUCUGCUAAUACAGUUUGCUAGCCGUAUCAUACUGGGCAUAUAAUAUGUGAGAUACGCAGAUGAACUAAAAACCACUAGCACUGCAAACACUCAGAACAAAGAAGCAGCAGUGCCUGGACUUCGCAGUCUCCCUCUUCAAGUCCCACUUCCAAGACUGCCUGUUAAGAACAAGUGACAGGCAGAACCUCCCAAUCACACAGCACCCACCUCUUUAUUCCACACACCAGAAUUAAGUAUUUCAGUCUGAUUGCCAUGUGAGUGUACAAAAAAGUAUCUGUGAAAAUAAAUUAAUGACACAACUGUACCAAAAAAAACGUUUCAUGUAUUAAAAUCUUAAAUAUUGCCAG